AAAAUACUCCCUCCGUCCGAAAAUACUUGUCAUCAAAAUGGAUAAAAGAAAAUGCAACUAGAUAUAUUUUAAUUCUAGAUACAUCUUUUUUUAUUCAUUUCGAUGACAAGUAUUUUCGGACGGAGGGAGUAUUUG
rnacentral:pre_miRNA from 1 species